rnacentral:rRNA from 1 species
AACGAACGCUGGCGGCAGGCCUAACACAUGCAAGUCGAGCGAGACCUUCGGGUCUAGCGGCGGACGGGUGAGUAACGCGUGGGAACGUGCCCUUCUCUACGGAAUAGUCCCGGGAAACUGGGUUUAAUACCGUAUACGCCCUUCGGGGGAAAGAUUUAUCGGAGAAGGAUCGGCCCGCGUUAGAUUAGGUAGUUGGUGGGGUAAUGGCCUACCAAGCCUACAAUCUAUAGCUGGUUUGAGAGGAUGAUCAGCCACACUGGGACUGAGACACGGCCCAGACUCCUACGGGAGGCAGCAGUGGGGAAUCUUAAACAAUGGGGGCAACCCUGAUCUAGCCAUGCCGCGUGAGUGAUGAAGGCCUUAGGGUCGUAAAGCUCUUUCGCUGGGGAAGAUAAUGACUGUACCCAGUAAAGAAACCCCGGCUAACUCCGUGC